CUUGAGCAGUAUACUAUUUUUAAAUAACCCCCGUGCUUCUUGUAUGAAUGCUGUCCCGUAACUUUUGGAUCUGCUGUAAUAAUUAUUUUCAUUUCCCCUCCCCUGAGGUGGGAACCAGGCUGAAAUCUUGAUCAAAAAUCGAGCUGCUGGAAGAGCGGGUUCCACACGGUCUGAAAGAGUGCUUUGGCUGCUCAGUCAAGGAAAUUUUCAAGGCUGAAAUCCCUAGAUGCUAAAGAAAUUGAGAAGAAGUGGACUGUGAUGGAGGACUAGCAGAGAUGUGGAAUGGUGGAUCACGCUUGAGGACUGCUUAUGGCCGGCUACUCCCUGUGCCUAUGUUCUCUUGAAUUUGGGAGAAACAUCUCUAACCAAAGUGCAUGUAGGAUGCGGAACUUUAUACCAUGAGGGAAAUAUUACAGCUCUGGCCCACUUAAUGGAUUGGACACCUCAAUGACAGCUUCCUUUUGUAACAGUGAUUCAGAAGGCACAGAUGCUGGAAGCAGAGCAACACACAAGAUGCUGAAAGAACUCAUCGAGUCCGACGGCACCUGUGGAGGGAAAUGGACAGUCGAUAUUUCAGGAAAGAGGUACAGGAGCCUAAAGACACACACUCAACAUUUUGAAGAACAGCUUCUUCCCCCGCCAUCAGAUUUCUGAAUGAACAAUGAACCAACGAACACUACCUCAGUAUUUUUCUCUAUAUUUGCACUACUUACUUAAUUUAAAUUUCUGUUUAGUCUUUUUGUAAAUUUCUAGUUUUUAUUAUUAUGCAUUGCUAUAUAUUGCUAUCGCAAACCAGCAAAUUUCAUGACAUAUUGUAAGCCAAUGAUAUUAAACCUGAUUCUGAUUCUGAAUCAGGCAGAUAAUGUAUAGGUUGGGUCAACAAUUCAAGACUGGGUUGGGCAGGUGACAUGAAAAUGAUUAACUGGAAUUGGGUCAGGAGAGGUGAUGAUAAAUCAAUCGGUCCCGGGGAGAUGAUGGAGAGGUUAGGUGUUUGGUGGUUUCAAAGCAUGGGGGAUGAAUUGGAAGAGUGGUGGGAAUAAUAGACAUCCGUUAGUCUCCCUUCCCAUUUCCUUCCCCUUGUUUUUCAUACACAGGAAUAUGCAUCCAUAGCACUAAAUCUGGGAGCUCUCUCCCUCUCUUCUGCUGGUGUAGCUGCCUCGGGGACUGUGCCUUUAAGGGCAGAUGCUCUGCUGGCAUCCCUGUGUGCAAAGAGAUGGCAGCUGUGUUACAGUAACUGUGGUCCUAUUCGCAGAUGUGGAGAACCUAUUGUACAGUUGCUUUUUACCUAACAAUAUCUCAAAUGGAUAUUUGACUAAUUACAUAAUUCCUUUUGAAGCAUUGGUGCUAAAUGUAACAAUGCUUUAAACAGGAAAUACAAUAUGAUGGAAAGGUCAGAGGAGUAAGACAUUACUAAAAUAGUAUUGGACUAAUGAAUGCUGGUGUCAGAGGGAUCUGCCUGUCCUCAUACAAGAAACCUAUUAGGGAAGUUUUAGAAGUCCUGGAAUGUAGUAGGGCAGGUGAUCUAGUAAUCAUAAUGACAUUAGUUUCAAUAGAAUUAUGGAGAAGAAUAGGUCUGGCCUUGGGUUGAGAUUCUAUAAUGAAGAAAAGCCAAUUUUGAAAAUAUAGAACUUAGAACAUAGAAUAGUACAGCACAUUACAGGCCCUUCAGCCCACAAUGUUGUGCGACCCUCAAACCCUGCCUCCCAUAUAACCCCCCACCUUAAAUUCCUCCAUAUACCUGUCUAGUAGUCUCUUAAACUUCACUCGUGUAUCUGCCUCCACCACUGAAUCAGGCAGUGCAUUCCACUCACCAACCACUCUCUGGAGUGAAAAACCUUCCUCUCAUAUCCCCCUUGAACUUUCCUCAACUUACCUUAAAGCCAUUUCCUCUUGUACUGAGCAGUGGUGCCCUGGGGAAGAGGUCCUGGCUGUCCACUCUGUCUACUCCUCUUAAUAUCUUGUACACCUCUAUCAUGUCUCCUCUCAUCCUCCUUCUCUCUAAAGAGUAAAGCCCUAACUCCCUUAAUCUCUGAUCAUAACCCAUACUCUCUAAACCAGGCAGCAUCCUGGUAAAUCUCCUCUGUACCCUUUCCAAUGCUUCCACAUCCUUCCUAUAGUGAGGCGACCAGAACUGGACACAGUACUCCAAGUGUGGCCUAACUAGAGUGUUAUAGAGCUGCAUCAUUACAUUGCUUUUCUUAAAACCUAUCCCUCGACUUAUGAAAGCUAACAGCCUAUAAGCUUUCUUAACUACCCUAUCUACCUGUGAGGCAACUUUCAGGGAUCUGUGGACAUGUACCCCCAGAUCCCUCUGCUCCUCCACACUACCAAGUAUCCUGCCAUUUACUUUGUACUCUGCCUUGGAGUUUGUCCUUCCAAAGUGUACCACUGAUGCACCAUCAAUAACUCUCGGAGACGUGAGUUAAGGUAGGCUUUUAUUGGCUGGAAGAAAGCACCAUCAGCAGCAAGCGACCACCACACAACAUCCUGGAGACUGAGGAAGGAGCAGUGGCUCCAAUCGCCUUUAUACAGGGGUCUGUGGGAGGAGCCACAGGAGCAGUUAGCGGGGGUGGGGGGGGGGGCAUGUCCAGACAGGUACAUGUAGUUCACCACAACCACCUGACACUUCUCUGGGUUGAACUCCAUCUGCCACUUCUCAGACCACUUCUGUAUCCUAUCAAUGUCUCUCUGCAAUCUUCAACAACCCUCUACACUAUCUACAACACCACCAACCUUUGUAUCAGAAAGGAUCUGGCAAUUGUGGAUGGGGAUUGGUUGUUUUCAGGUAAAGUUGUGUUGGUAAGUGGAAGGCCUUCAAAAGUGAAAUUUUGUAAGUAUAGUGUUUGUACAAUCCUGUCAGAAUAAGAGGCAAGGAAAACAGGUUUAGCGAACCUUGAUUUUCAAGAGAUAUUGAGGCCCUAGAUAAGGAGAAGGAGGUACAUAGCAGGUAUAUGUGGGAAAGGUUUGAUUUUGGCCUGUUUUUGCACUGCAGUGUUCUAUGAUCUACGAUCUACAACUAUGACUCUAAAGACAGCUCGCUUGCAAUUUCAGUAAGUAAUUAGGAAAGCAGUUGGAUGUUGUCUUUUAUCACAGGCAGGGUAAAUAGAAAGAAAUAUUUUAUGUGCAAUGAAAGCAUUUGAAAUACACUGAUAGGUCUAGUUUCUUAGCAGCAUUCUCCACUGAUGCUGUAUGAUUAUGAAUUUGUACUCUUUGUGCUGCUCUUCAAAUAUUUCUUCUGUCGUACAGUGUAUUUGUUCAGACUAAUCCUGAAUGAUUUCUCCAGUUUUGAACUCUCUUGCUGGAACUGUUUUGCAUUGCAUUUCCAGGAACUGUACUGCUUCUGACUAUUCUUAAGGAAAUGUAUUGUUGUAGACAAUGUUAAAAGGUUUAACAUUGUCCUACUUAAAAGAGCUACUUUGUCCAUAAAUGAGCUUUAUUAUUUAAAAUUAAUGCUAAAUGAAUAUUGUGUUCUCUGGGAAGAGCAGCAUUUUUCCAGUUAAAGAGGUGUUAUAGAACACUUGAAAAAUCUAUAAUCUUCUGGGAGAAAUGACUGAUAUUUUUAAAAUGUUUGCUAUACUGCAAUCUUGCAAAAUAAUGUGAUUUAAAGAUCCCACUAUUCAUGCAUGAGUGAAGAAUUUUAAUUACCAUUAGAAUUAAACAAUAUUAAAAUUAUAGUUAAAAUUGAAUUGAAAUAACAACGCUUCAUUCUGUUAUUGUUUUACCUUUUAUUGCCUCAAUGUGCUGUUGUAAUGACAGGAUCUUUAUA